GGAAGGCCUAUCAAUCACAGGUGCACGCCUGUGCCUACUCGCUACCACGCGUCUUCUGGGAGGAAGUGAAUGAGCCGGUUAUCUUCUCAGGGAGGGUUAGUGCUGGCCACUGUGCACUGCCGCUGCCAGCACGCCCGGUCACAGCCAGUGUCUAUGGGCGACUGGCGCGGCUGCGAGGCUGUCUAGAGGACUCCUACCCUUCUGCUCUGAGUGCGCAA
rnacentral:lncRNA from 1 species